AGGACGGCUGUUCUACGCCACGUUUCUCUAUGAAGGCGGAGCGAUGCCACUCUAGCCCUUCACGUCUCUAUGGCCAAAGCCACCGGAGAACGCAACAAUCAUUCAUCAUACCAGUGGUGGGUUGUCCCCGGUUCGAACCGGUUCUCAAGAAUCGGUAGUAAAACCGGCAUGAGGCUCCGCCCACUGACCCGGAUGUCAUCAAAGUUGAUCUGCGCAUGCGCAGAAGAGCGUGCGCGGCACAAUGCGAACCAAUAGUAAAGGGGGCGAUGCUCAUCUCCGUUUCAAAGCCGAAGAGCCAGUGCUGUCCGAAGACAUCACUGUGGUCAUGUGGCCAGCAUGACUAAAUGCCAAAGGCACACGAAACGCUGUUACCUUCCCACCAAAGAUGGUCCCUAUUUUUCUACUUGCAUUUUUUAUGUGCUUUUGAACUGCUAGGUUGACAGAAGCUGGGACAAGUAACGGGAGCUCACCCCAUUACACGGCACUAGGGAUUCAAACAGCUGAACUUUGAUUGAAAGUUUGAUUUAUUUAACGACCUUUCAAUUGACAAGCUCAGCAUCUUAGCCACUGAGCCACCGUGUCCCUUAUAUAUAAUUUGUCUGACACUACUGAAUAAAAGGUAUUUAUUACUUUCUUUUUAGCCAUUUUUUCUUGGACAGUAACAUAUUGUAUUUUAAUGUUUGUAGUUUAUGCUUUUACUUGGCUGUUCACCGCCCUGAGUCCUCAGGGAGAAGGGCGGUAUAUAAAUUUAAAAAUAAAUAAAUAAAUAAAUAUUUCACCCCAAAUUA